AGCAGAUGUUUGCUGGCAAAAUAUGGAAAAGGGGCCAACAACUGACAACUAAAUGAGCAAUGGAGGCAUUCACUGCUUACUGCUGAUUGUAGCAAAAGAUCUCUUGGAAUAAGAGAGAGAAGGAUCUGUUUGCAGACUGGAGUGAUGGGCG
rnacentral:lncRNA from 12 species